rnacentral:tRNA from 1 species
UCCAUAAUAAUAUAGUGGUGAAUAUUCCCGCCUGUCACGCGGGAGAACCAGGGUUCAAUUCCCCGUCAGGGAG